AAGCAUGAAUAUAUGAAGGAAACUGCAUUCAGAGAAUGAGAAGAACACCCCCACUGGACGAACUGCAGCCUCCGCCAUAUCAGGAUGACAGCGGGUCUCCCCACCUCUCAUGUACACCCUCAGAAAUCGGGGACAGUAAAUGUGAAUUUUCCCACUGCAGCAACAGCCCAAGACGCUCCUAUAACAAGUGCCCGAGUGAAGGAAGCACCGGUCACGAAAUAGAAAGUUUUCAUAAUAAAGGAUAUGAAGAAGAUGUUCCGAGUGACAGCACUGCAGUCCUGAGCC